AGCAGUCGCCGCGGGAAUACGGAGGGUGCAAGCGUUAUCCGGAUUUAUUGGGUUUAAAGGGUCCGUAGGCGGAUCUGUAAGUCAGUGGUGAAAUCUCACAGCUUAACUGUGAAACGGCCAUUGAUACUGCAGGUCUUGAGUAAAUUUGAAGUGGCUGGAAUAAGUAGUGUAGCGGUGAAAUGCAUAGAUAUUACUUAGAACACCAAUUGCGAAGGCAGGUCACUAAGAUUUAACUGACGCUGAUGGACGAAAGCGUGGGGAGCGAACAGGAUUAGAUACCCGAGUAGUCCCUGUCUCUUAUAC
rnacentral:rRNA from 1 species